rnacentral:lncRNA from 1 species
CUAUACUAAGCCAAGGAAUUCCCAGGAGAAUGAGGAGGUUGGUACCAUUCACACCACUGAGGUCCCUAAGGUCGGGAAGAAGGCCGCUGUGAUGGAGAGUAAGCCCCAAUCGCCUGCAGACAGGAAGGGGAGGUAGCAGCCCUCUGGUUUGGAGCGAAAGGGCAGUAACCAUUGAUGUGGGGAUUCUUACUCUUCCUCUGAGGCAAACAGCCAAGGGAGAUUGUGGUAAACAUCCCAGAGAGGCCAAAAGGAAAGCAAAAAGCAGAGGGAAUUUUCCGGUAUUCCUUCUAUGGGACUCUGCAGUGUCAUUGUGCCUACCACAACAUGGGGAGCUCACGGCAAAAAAGAAAUGGUGCUAUGAUAGGUUAAGGCAGGGAGAGCUAGGGAGCAUGUUGAUUUGUGGUUGGAAAACAAUUGAGAGUUGAGAGCUAGGGGCACCUGCUGAAAAGCUGCAGCAGCAAGGCGUGAGGUGACUCCAGAGCAGAGGUUCUGGGGUGAUGGCCUAAGCCGGGGCUAGCUGGAGUAUACGGCUGAUGUUUAGAGGUGGCAGAAAUGAGGCUAGGUCAGCGAGAGGGGCCCACCAGGUGCAAACUGCACGGGGGCUGACCAUAGCCUCUUCUCAGCAGACCUGAGCAGAAAGUGUGGGUGGAUGUGAUGGAAGCACAUUCCUGAGGAGGCCUGCAGGGUCCGGGGAACACGCCUAUACCUGUGGGCCCAUGGCUGCUUCCCGCAGCACACUCCAGACGGGCUAGGGAGAGGGCAGGGGAGAAACUCCAAAAGUGGAGCAUUUGCCUCAAAGAAACUGAGUUACACGAAGAAAGACAGCUUGAAACUAAUCAGAUUGAGCUUCCUUUAUCUGGUCCUCUUCCCUCCAGGCCUGCCCUCCAUGACUCUCAACCUUGAAUAAGAAUGGGGGAGUCAGAAGAAAUCCAAAGCAGUUCUAGGAAAUUGAGUGCCACAUUCUUUUCUGCACGCCUGAGAAUUCGAGGACACUUAUGGGGACCUUCCCUGUACACGAAGUUGCUGUAGACAUGAUAAACAGAUGGCCUAGCAUUUGGCCCAGAUCCCAGCUGCAUCCCUGGUCUUGUUUCUGAUGUUUUGCCCUGUGUGGUUGAGUAUGUCUUAUGCACCUUUGCAUGCCCCAUUCCGGACACUACGACUCCCAUGAAUUGUCCAAAGAAAAUAAUUCAAAGGACUCAAAUAGAUGUUAAAGGCUUCAUUCAGCUGAUGAGGUCAGGGAGCACCUGAAGGCCAGCCAGGUAUAAAAUGAUGUGAUCAGACUACCAGAGCUCAAGAAGUCCCCAGUGAUCAAGGCUGAGCAGGAGGAAUGAGCAGAAGCUCACAGAAUUGGCGUGUAUCUCUAGCUUGAUGAAGCAGGCAUUUAAUACAGGGCAUUUCAUGAGAUCUGAGAAAGGAGAGCAGAGUCCCGGUCCCCUAAGAGCAAGCUCUCCCCCUCCUCCACUACUGUGCCCUCCGGCUUCAGAGAGGAGUCAGACUGAACUCUGCAUGUUGUACUAAGGAUCAAAUGAGGAAACCUGUGUGAAAGCACCUCACCCGCUAGAGGCCCUGGAAGCAAUGGCCUUCUCCUGCUUCUCCUGCAAACCCAACUCUCACAGAAGACACAGCCUGCUGAGGGCCCUGGCUCCACUCUCUAUGACCCAAGGGCAACGCGGUAUCACUUCCCUGCCACCAGUCUGGAGCCUGUGAAAGCUGAGUCCAGGAAGAGGAAAUUGGGACACAGACACGCACAGACGGAAAACCAUGUGAAGACACAAGGAGAAGACGGCUGUUUGCAAGCGAAGGAGAGAGGCCUCAGGAGAAACCAGCCCUGCCAACUCCUUGAUCUCAGACUCCAGAACGGAUCUGAACCUGUGAACCCCAGGCCGCCAAAGCGGAACGUGCGCACUUAACCGCUGUGCCACCGAGCUGGCCCCCUACAGUUUGAUUUUGAAGGACACAACUUACAAACAGCCAAAUGGAAGAGAUGCACAGGGCAAGGUAUGGGGAUGGGGGCACAGUGCUUCCAUCACCUCUCCAGGCAUGCCACGCCCCCAUCACAUCAACAUGUUCACCAACCCAGAAGCUCUCUCAGCCUCUUUGUUUCAGUAUUUUUAUCAAAGUUUUAUUGACUAAGCAUGAUUGAUUAAAUCAUUGGCCAUUGGUGACUGAACUCAAUCUCCCCCUCCCCUCCCCAGAAGACCAGGGUUGGGGCUGAUUGUUCUAACUGUCUAAUCAUGUGGCUGGUUCCUCUGGCAAUGAGCCCCCAUCCUGAAGCUAUCUAAGGACCCACAAAGAAUCACUUCA